UGCAAAAGCGAUUCCUGACAAUGCAUUUUUUAAAAGUGUAUGUCUGUAUAGAGAAAGUAGCAGCAAUAAUAUUUUUAAAAGCCAACCAAGCAUUUGUAGCAGGUGUGUGUGUGUGUGUGUGUGUGUGUGUGUGUGUGUGUUAGAGAGAAAAUAGAUGCACUAGAAGGUGAAGAGACCCAUUUCCCCAAGACAGCCUGUCAUCAAUUGCAG